CUUUAACUUGUCUGUGUUUCCCAGAGAAUGUGUUCUCAUUAUUUUGUCUGCUGUUUUGUACCUUUGGACAUUCCACCAAUGAUGAAAUUCAGACAGUUCUAUCAGAUUUCGCUUCAAAAAUUUUGGACCUUUGUUACUAGGUACAUAAACAUCUGAGGUGUUUAUUGGAGCUCUUUGCCUAGAACUGAUAAUUGGAUUCAUGGUAUUCUGGAGAACAAGGAAACAGGCUGAGGAAGAAUAAGAGACUUGCUUGAGGAAGAAAACUGAAGCCCAGAAAGC
rnacentral:lncRNA from 10 species